rnacentral:rRNA from 1 species
GUUGAUCCUGCCAGUAGUCAUAUGCUUGUCUCAAAGAUUAAGCCAUGCAUGUCUAAGUAUAAGCAAUUUAUACAGUGAAACUGCGAAUGGCUCAUUAAAUCAGUUAUCGUUUAUUUGAUAGUUCCUUUACUACAUGGUAUAACUGUGGUAAUUCUAGAGCUAAUACAUGCUUAAAAUCUCGACCUCUGGAAGAGAUGUAUUUAUUAGAUAAAAAAUCAAUGUCUUCGGACUCUUUGAUGAUUCAUAAUAACUUUUCGAAUCGCAUGGCCUUGUGCUGGCGAUGGUUCAUUCAAAUUUCUGCCCUAUCAACUUUCGAUGGUAGGAUAGUGGGGUACCAUGGUAUCAACGGGUAACGGGGAAUAAGGGUUCGAUUCCGGAGAGGGAGCCUGAGAAACGGCUACCACAUCCAAGGAAGGCAGCAGGCGCGCAAAUUACCCAAUCCUAAUACAGGGAGGUAGUGACAAUAAAUAACGAUACAGGGCCCAUUCGGGUCUUGUAAUUGGAAUGAGUACAAUGUAAAUACCUUAACGAGGAACAAAUGGAGGGCAAGUCUGGUGCCAGCAGCCGCGGUAAUUCCAGCUCCAAUAGCG